AAAAGGUGUGGGACUGUUGAAGGUCUGACGCUUUGGGCUGCCCCUAAGAUAAAACUGAGACAACUGAUGAUUCCUGAUGAUUUCUGGAGUUAUACAUAUGAUUUCUACAUAGGUUUAUGGAAGUUUAUUCAUGGUGGACAACAGAGAUAAUUAUAUUUUUGGAAAGUGUAGGUCACACUGAAUCUAAAAAUCAGUGUAUCAUGUCUGUGCAUUCAGUCUGAACUGAAUUAAGAAAAAGGAAUAUGACUUUUGAGUGUAGAUGCAACUGUAUGCAAAUGGUUUUGAAGUAUCUUUAUUGCCUCCAUGAGCUGUGCAUUGCAGCCAAUGCUGCUGCACCUGUCCCUUUUGCCUAGCGCAGUGUCCUUGCGCCUUUCCCUCAGGUGCACCGCCCCCCGCCCUUCAAUUCUCCCAUGCACCCUGAAGGAAACCUGUUUUGUUUUUAAUAAAAAUAUGACAAAAACUCAUUAUAACAAAGGGUCCACGUAGUUUAGGAACAAAAAAAAACAACCUGGUGACACACACACAGCAGUUGCAGACAUUAAGAGCCUUUAAUUGGGGCACUUGUCAAAAGCCACUUUUCCUGCAGCAGGCCUCAGAAACAGGACUAAGCUAUUAGAGUAAGCCGGCUCUGACUAAAAUUCAACAGCUAUGUGUGUGUGCGUGCGUGGGUGUUUGUGGUUUAGCUGCUUAAGCUCAAAGAUUUGCCAGCUGGCUGUGUGUUGCCACAAUCCUUCAUUGUUCCUGGCCAGAUCAUCAACUAUUAGGAAGGAUUUAGUCACAUCCACAUUGCUUUCUCAGCUUCUGUGUUUAGGUUAACUCCACCAGAGGAAAAGCCCGUCUGCUGGCUGCUGAGGCAAAAAGGCCGAGUUGGCAUCUCAAAGAGGGAACUGAUUGGCUGAAUAAAUGGGGGGUGGGGUGGUGGUGGUGGUGGUGGUGGUAGUUGCCAUGCAGAAAGUCUCUUCCAUCCCAUCUCUCAUUUCUGCUGGAUAUAUCUUUAUAAAACUGUACAUAUAUCUUUGUCUCUCUGUAUAUUAGACUCCCCAUCUUUCAUUGCUGAUGCUGUCUUUGAUUUUUUUCUCUUUUGCAACUCUUUGUUUCCUCAGAUUGACUGUUUUUCUCUAACUCCCAGUCUCUCUUCACACCGCACUUUUUUCUACAACCAAUCAAUUGUCCCAUUCCCUUUUCUCUGCUUCAUCUCACCUCUCCAACCAGCUCCACAGCUGCAGAGCUGGUGUGUUGCUAGGGGUGUGGCUGUCUCCUCCUGCUGGCUGAUUACACACACCUGUUUCCACUCCGCUCGUUCUCCCUUCGCCUUCUUAAGCCCGGCCUUCACCCCAGUCCUUUGCCAGAGUAUUCCUUGCUGUAUCCUGUGUGCAAGCUCUCAGCGCUACCUGCGUUUGGAUUCUCCUGUUCUCUGUGGCUACCUGUGUUCUCCAGUGGCAGCGUUUUCUGUUCCUCGUGUCUUCAGUACUUUCUAUAGUCAGCCAGUCGCCUGCCACGCUGCCUGCCUAUUGUUCCUGUGUUUUCAUCAGUGCCUUAUUAAAGAGCCAUCUGUUGGUACUUA